GUGCAAACAACAGAAAUUUACUCCUCACUGGUCUGAAGGCUGGGAAGUCCUAGAUCUAAGCACUGGUAGAUUCAGUGCCCGCUGAAGACCUGCUUUCUGGGUCAUAGACCACACUUUCUAGCUGUGUCCUCACAGGGUAAAAGGAGCAAUGGGUCUCUUGGAACUGUUCUACAGAGCCCCUCAUCCCAUUCAUGAGACUCCUCUUUCAUGACCUACCCAAACUCCCCAAAGGACCACCCGGUGAUACCAUCACCUUGGACAUUAUAUUUUCAACACUUAAAUAAGGAUAGGGAGGACACGGACAGGUAGACCAGAGCACUCUUUUCUGACUUGCAGACUAAUAAUGAUCCUUCUAGCCACCCCACCAUACUGGCGAUCAUUCAGCAAAUGUCCACUGGGCAUCUACAUCAGGCCUGAGCUAGACGGUGGGCAGUGCACAAGACGAAAAAAAGAAAGAAAGAAAUUGAUCUCAAUGGAGUCAUACUGAGAGGUCAAAGGAUUAAUUAAUUAUAUGAUCAUUUUACACAGUAUUACAUUGUAUGUAUUCAUCAUUAUUUAUCCAAUCAGUUACCAACUGAAUAGUAAUUUAAGUACUUUGAG
rnacentral:lncRNA from 1 species